rnacentral:rRNA from 1 species
CCUACGGGUGGCAGCAGUCGAGAAUCAUUCACAAUGGGGGAAACCCUGAUGGUGCGACGCCGCGUGGGGGAAUGAAGGUCUUCGGAUUGUAAACUCCUGUCAUGUGGGAGCAAAUUAAAAAGAUAGUACCACAAGAGGAAGAGACGGCUAACUCUGUGCCAGCAGCCGCGGUAAUACAGAGGUCUCAAGCGUUGUUCGGAAUCACUGGGCGUAAAGCGUGCGUAGGCGGUUUCGGAAGUCGUGGGUGAAAGGCGCGGGCUCAACCCGCGUACGGCACAUGAUACUGGGAGACUAGAGUGAGGGAGAGGGAAGCGGAAUUCGCGGUGUAGCAGUGAAAUGCGUAGAUAUCGAGAGGAACACUCGUGGCGAAGGCGGGUUCCUGGACAUUAACUGACGCUGAGGCGCGAAGGCGAGGGGAGCGAAAGGGAUUAGAUACCCUAGUAGUC